rnacentral:rRNA from 1 species
AAAGAAACUAACAAGGAUUCCCCUAGUAACUGCGAGUGAAGCGGGAAAAGCUCAAAUUUAAAAUCUGGUGGUCUUUGGCCAUCCGAGUUGUAAUUUAGAGAAGCGUCUUCCGCGCUGGACCGUGCACAAGUCUCCUGGAAUGGAGCGUCAUAGAGGGUGAGAAUCCCGUCUUUGGCAUGGAUCCCAGGGCUUCUGUGAUGCGCUCUCGACGAGUCGAGUUGUUUGGGAAUGCAGCUCAAAAUGGGUGGUGAACUCCAUCUAAAGCUAAAUAUUGGCGAGAGACCGAUAGCGAACAAGUACCGUGAGGGAAAGAUGAAAAGCACUUUGGAAAGAGAGUGAAACAGUACGUGAAAUUGUUGAAAGGGAAACGCUUGAAGUCAGUCGCGUUGACCGAGACUCAACCUUGCUUUGGCUUGGUGUAUUUCUCGGCUGACGGGUCAGCAUCAAUUUUGACCCUCAGAUAAUGGCAAGGGAAAGGUGGCACCUUUUAGGUGUGUUAUAGUCCCAUGUCGCAUGUGAGGGUUGGGAUUGAGGAACUCAGCAUGCACCUCUGGGUGUCGGGGCUUUGGCCCACGUUACAUGCUUAGGAUGCUGGC